GACGAACCACACAAACGUUAUUCGGAAUUACUGGGCUUAAAGGGUGCGUAGGCUGCGCGGAAAGUUGGGUGUGAAAUCCCUCGGCUCAACCGAGGAACUGCGCCCAAAACUACCGUGCUCGAGGAAGAUAGAGGUGAGCGGAACUUACGGUGGAGCGGUGAAAUGCGUUGAUAUCGUAAGGAACACCCGUGGCGAAAGCGGCUCACUGGGUCUUUUCUGACGCUGAUGCACGAAAGCUCGGGGAGCAAACAGG
rnacentral:rRNA from 1 species